rfam:Bacteroides dorei DSM 17855 B_dorei-1.0_Cont6.16, whole genome shotgun sequence.
UCUAUCGUGAGAUGGCUUCUGAAAGAAGUUGGCAGCAAACAUUUGGCUUGACGGACAAAAACUUCAUACAAGGUAUUUAAUCGUGGACAAGGUUACCAAACAGACCAAAGCCUCAUAGCUAUUCAGAACGGUUGGUGCAAAUAAAAUAAGUAUAAGAUGAAAAGACAAGAUC